GGAGGAAGGGAGGGCGGAGGAGCAGGUGGCGGGCUGGUGGCCUCUGCCGGCUGGCGGGACAGUGGUGGCUCAGCCUCCGGGUCUGGAGACUCAGCUUCCUCCUUCCCCUGCCCCCGAUGCCUGCCAGACUUUUGCCCACACCAGGGCCUCCGCCUGACCAGCCUCCUACCCCAGACUGACUGAUUGGGGAGUCAGGGGCUGAACCGUCUGGGGGUCGCCCUGUACCAAUGCACUGCAGGGCCUUUCGGGGCCUGGCAGGAGCCCUCUUUACCCUCCUGUGCGUGGGGCUCCUGUCUCUACGGUACCACUCAAGCUUGUCGCUGCGGAUGGCUCAGGACGCGCUCAGGCUGACCCAGCCGAACCCAGGGCCCCUGGAGCUGCAGCUGGGCGACAUCUUCAUCGCAGUCAAGACUACCUGGGCCUUCCACCGCUCUCGCCUGGACCUGCUACUUGACACGUGGGUCUCCAGGACCAGGCAACAGACGUUCAUCUUCACUGACAGCCCCGACGAAAACCUCCAGGAGAGACUGGGCUCCCACCUUGUGGUCACCAACUGUUCUGCAGAGCACAGCCAUCCUGCUCUGUCCUGCAAGAUGGCUGCAGAGUUCGAUGCCUUCUUGGCCAGUGGGCUCAGGUGGUUCUGCCACGUGGAUGAUGACAACUACGUGAACCCCAGGGCACUGCUACAGCUGUUGAAAACAUUCCCGCAGGACCGUGACGUCUACGUGGGCAAGCCCAGCCUGAACCGGCCCAUCCACGCCUCUGAGCUGCAAUCAAAAAACCGCACGGUGCGUCCCUUCCUCCUCUUCCAGAGGCUGGUACGGUUCUGGUUUGCCACAGGGGGUGCUGGCUUCUGCAUUAGCCGCCAGCUGGCUUUGAAGAUGGAGCCAUGGGCCAGCGGCUCCCACUUCGUGGACACUUCAGCUCUUAUCCGGCUCCCUGAUGACUGCACUGUGGGCUACAUCAUUGAGUGCAAGCUGGGGGGUCACCUGCAGCCCAGCCCCCUUUUCCAUUCACAUUUGGAGACCCUGCAGCUGCUGGGGGCUGCCCAGCUUCUGGAGCAGGUCACCCUCAGCUACGGUGUCUUUGAGGGGAAACUGAACAUCAUCAAGUUACCGGGCCCCUUUUCCCAUGAAGAGGACCCCUCCAGGUAAAUGCCUUGUCCUCUCUGGGCUUCCGUCUCUCCAUCUGUAGCACUGGGGUUCAUGGCUGUUCCGAGAGCCCUCUGGCCAGGGUUAUGGUAAGCACAGCCUUGUUUCGAGGAGAUAGAAUUUGACUCAGUGUAGGGAAGAAAUUCAAAGUUCCAAGAGGAAAAGAGCUGCCUUUUUUGUUUGUUUAUUUUAUUUUAUUUUUUUGAGACAGGGUUUCUCUGUGUAGCCAUGGCUGACCUGGAACUCACUCUGUAGACCAGGCUGGCCUCCAACUCAGAGACCUGCCAAGUGCUGGGAUUAAAGGUGUGCACCACCCCUGCCCAGCAAGGAGCUGCCUUUUAAUGGAGUGAGCUGCCCAUCAGCAGAGGCAUGCGAGCCAUAGCCUCAGUUUCGUUCCCUCCAUUGUCUCCUCUACCCGGACACACCCUGGUGUCCCCUGCUGGUGGCACUGUGAGCUCUGAACUGCUGCAGAGGUUGACGGACACUUCUGCCUGACCCCUCCCCCGCCACCUCCUACGUGGUCCUGAGGGCUCCUGGUCCAGUGCCCACUGACAGAUGGUCCCCGGUAGGCCCUCUGGGUGACAGGAAAGGCCAGGAUCUGGACUGUGGUUGGUGCUGAAGGUGUCUCGGGCCCAGGGACCUGGUCACACCGCAGAGACUUCGGGAGCACUUGUGUGUGGGGUGCUCAGGCUCCUUACUCUCCUGAGAGUGACGUGUCCUGACUGGGGUCUGGCCUCUGGCUCUGGCCUCAGUUAUUCCUCAAGGACCAGGACCGUUGGGACAAAGCCAGGGCUGUGAUCUGUAGCUGUGGGACUGGUCUCAGCUGCUCCUGGCUCUCCUCACCUGGCCAAUGGACGUGGACUUUGGAAGCUCAGCAGGCUCGGAUAGAUCACAGUGGGUCCAUGUCAAUUGUGACUGACUAUUGGUUCAUUGUCCCAGCCCUCUUUGCUGUGAGGAGCUACCAUAUGGCUCAGCGGGAACUGAGGAAAGCCAAUUGAGGUUUCUGGAGUAGGUUUCACAGCCCAAGACCCUUUUUCCCUACUGCAAAUGUGGGUGUGAUGGUUGGAUCUCAGGAAGCUACUUUGCCACCAUGAGAGAAAGGCCAAGACAAUCAUCUAAAGCUGUUCUUUCUGACAUCUGAUCUGUGAGAAAUUAAACCUUUAUUUAAGUCUC